AGGGGUAUAGCUCAGUGAUUGGUACAGUGUAUGCUUAACAUGUACAAGGUCCUAGGUUCAAUCCCCAGUACCUCCA
rnacentral:tRNA from 1 species